rnacentral:rRNA from 1 species
GCUUGACCUCGGAUCAGGUAGGGAUACCCGCUGAACUUAAGCAUA